rnacentral:rRNA from 1 species
UACGUAGGGGGCGAGCGUUAUCCGGAUUUACUGGGCAUAAAGAGCAUGUAGGCGGUAACUUAAGUCAGAUGUAAAAGUCCUCGGCUCAACCGAGGUUCGGCAUUUGAUACUGAGAUACUAGAGAUCAGGAGAGGAAAGCGGAACUCACAGUGUAGCGGUGAAAUGCGUAGAUAUUGUGAGGAACACCAGUUGCGAAGGCGGCUUUCUGGACUGAAUCUGACGCUGAGAUGCGAAAGCGUGGGGAGCAAAC